rnacentral:rRNA from 1 species
CCUACGGGGUGCAGCAGUGGGGAAUAUUGGGCAAUGGGCGCAAGCCUGACCCAGCAACGCCGCGUGAAGGAAGAAGGCUUUCGGGUUGUAAACUUCUUUUGUCAGGGAAGAGUAGAAGACGGUACCUGACGAAUAAGCCACGGCUAACUACGUGCCAGCAGCCGCGGUAAUACGUAGGUGGCAAGCGUUGUCCGGAUUUACUGGGUGUAAAGGGCGUGUAGCCGGGUUGACAAGUCAGAUGUAAAAUCCUGCGGCUUAACCGCAGAACUGCAUUUGAAACUGUUGAUCUUGAGUACUGGAGAGGCAGACGGAAUUCCCAGUGUAGCGGUGAAAUGCGUAGAUAUUAGGAGGAACACCAGUGGCGAAGGCGGUCUGCUGGACAGCAACUGACGGUGAGGCGCGAAAGCGUGGGGAGCAAACAGGAUUAGAUACCCCUGUAGUC